rnacentral:rRNA from 1 species
GACGAACGCUGGCGGCGUGCCUAACACAUGCAAGUCGAACGGAAAGGCCCUGCUUUUGUGGGGUGCUCGAGUGGCGAACGGGUGAGUAACCCGUGAGUAACCUGUCCUUGACUUUGGGAUAACUUAAGGCAACUGGGGCUAAUACCGGCUAGGAGCUCCUGCUGCAUGGUGGGGGUUGGAAAGUUUCGGCGGUUGGGGAUGGACUCGCGGCUUAUCAGCUUGUUGGUUGGGUAGUGGCUUACCAUGGCUUUGACGGGUAGCCGGCCUGGGAGGGUGACCGGCCACAUUAGGACUGAGAUACGGCCCAGACUCCUACGGGAGGCAACGGUGGGGAAUAUUGCACAAUGGGCGGGAGCCUGAGGCAGCAACGCCGCGUGCGGGAUGACGGCCUUCGGGUUGUAAACCGCUGUCGCCUGUGACGAAGCGUGAGUGACGGUAAUGGGUGAAGAAGCACCGGCUAACUACGUG